GAUGAACGCUGGCGGCGUGCCUAAUACAUGCAAGUCGAGCGAACAGACGAGGAGCUUGCUCCUCUGACGUUAGCGGCGGACGGGUGAGUAACACGUGGAUAACCUACCUAUAAGACUGGGAUAACUUCGGGAAACCGGAGCUAAUACCGGAUAAUAUAUUGAACCGCAUGGUUCAAUAGUGAAAGACGGUUUUGCUGUCACUUAUAGAUGGAUCCGCGCCGCAUUAGCUAGUUGGUAAGGUAACGGCUUACCAAGGCAACGAUGCGUAGCCGACCUGAGAGGGUGAUCGCCCACACUGGAACUGAGACACGGUCCAGACUCCUACGGGAGGCAGCAGUAGGGAAUCUUCCGCAAGGGGCGAAAGCCUGACGUAGCAACGCCGCGUGAGUGAUGAAGGUCUUCGGAUCGUAAAACUCUGUUAUUAGGGAAGAACAAAUGUGUAAGUAACUAUGCACGUCUUGACGGUACCUAAUCAGAAAGCCACGGCUAACUACGUG
rnacentral:rRNA from 1 species